rnacentral:rRNA from 1 species
CCUGCAAAGCAGACCGCGAACACGUGUUUAAACAAAUCGGGGCCGUGGCCAGCCG